GCCAGGCGUGGUGGUGUGCGCCUGUAAUCCCAGCUACUUCGGAGGCUGAGGUGUGAGAAUUGCUUGAACCCAGGAGGCGGAGGUUGCAGUGAGCCGAGAUAGCGCCACUGCACUCCAGCCUGGGCAACAGAGCAAGACUGCGUCUCAA
rnacentral:SRP_RNA from 1 species